UACUCCUACGGGAGGCAGCAGUGGGGAAUUUUGGACAAUGGGCGAAAGCCUGAUCCAGCAAUGCCGCGUGUGUGAAGAAGGCCUUCGGGUUGUAAAGCACUUUUGUCCGGAAAGAAAUCCUUGGCUCUAAUACAGUCGGGGGAUGACGGUACCGGAAGAAUAAGCACCGGCUAACUACGUGCCAGCAGCCGCGGUAAUACGUAGGGUGCAAGCGUUAAUCGGAAUUACUGGGCGUAAAGCGUGCGCAGGCGGUUUGCUAAGACCGAUGUGAAAUCCCCGGGCUCAACCUGGGAACUGCAUUGGUGACUGGCAGGCUAGAGUAUGGCAGAGGGGGGUAGAAUUCCACGUGUAGCAGUGAAAUGCGUAGAGAUGUGGAGGAAUACCGAUGGCGAAGGCAGCCCCCUGGGCCAAUACUGACGCUCAUGCACGAAAGCGUGGGGAGCAAACAGGAUUAGAUACCCUGGUAGUCCACGCCCUAAACGAUGUCAACUAGUUGUUGGGGAUUCAUUUCCUUAGUAACGUAGCUAACGCGUGAAGUUGACCGCCUGGGGAGUACGGUCGCAAGAUUAAAACUCAAAGGAAUUGA
rnacentral:rRNA from 1 species